ACACUAUUAGGUGGAUAGCUUGGUUUGGAUUGCGAUGAAGGACGUGGCAAGCUGCGAUAAGCUCAGGGUAGGCGCAUGCAGCCUUUGAACCUGAGAUCUCCUAAUGCGAAAACGUUCUCUUCGGAGAAUGCAGAAAUGCAAGCAUACGCCGGGAAUUGAAACAUCUUAGUACCGGCAGGAAAAGAAAUCAUUUGAGAUGCCCCCAUUAGCAGCGAGCGAAAAGGGCUCAGGGCGAACCGAAUCUUCCGUCGAAAGAUGGAUAGAGAUGUGGUGAGAAUAAAUAGCUAAGUUAUUGAAGAAAAGUUUUCUGGAAAGAAAUACCUCAGAGGGUGAUAGUCCCGUAUCUGAAAAUAAUAUGUUGUUUCUCGAUAGAGUAGGGCUUCCUAGAUAGGAUGUCUGAAUACGCGAGGAUUAACUCGCAACCCUAAACAUCAAUCCAAGUCCGAUAGCAAACAGAGUACCGCGAGGGAAAGCUGAAAAGUACCCAUAAACGGGGGUCAAAAGACUUGAAAUCUAAUAGUUACAUCUGGUUACGGCAUUAAGGUGUUGUAACGUGCGUUUUGAAAAACGAACCAAGGAGUUUAUUUAAGUGGCAAGGUUAAAAUGAAGCCGAAGCGAAAGCGAGUCCGAAAGGGCGAUAGUCACUUGGAUAAGACCCGAAGCUAGACGAUCUAAUCGUGAGCAGGACGAAGUUUUCCGAAAGGGAAAUGGAGGUCCGAACCAGUGUUAUGUGCAUGUACUUGGAUGACUUGCGAUUAGGGGUGAAAAGCCAAUCUAGUUUAGCGAUGGCUGGUUCCUGUCGAAAUAUGCCUCCGUAUAGUCUUAUUUAGUUUGGAGACGAGGUAAAGUACGGAUAGAGUUUGCAGACCCGCAAGGGUACGGAACUCUUUCCAACUCAGAACUUGUUUUCUGCAAAAAAUAGGAAUGGGGGGCAGCGCGUAAGGUGCUGUUCCGAGACCCGAACAAGGGAGACUAAAGUUAAGGUCCCAAAAAGUAUGUUAAGUGUGACAAAGGGAGUCUGAAACCUAAGACACUAGGGAUGUAGGCUUAGAAGCAGCCACCAUUCAAAGAAAGCGUAACAGCUCACCUAUCGAGGUUUUAGGCCCCGAAAAUGGACGGGGCUAAACAUACUACCGAUACUUUAGAGGCACUCGCAAGAGUGUUCUGGUAGACAGGCGCGGAUUCUGCGCAGAAGUUCUUCCGAGAGGAAAGAUGGAGCGGAAUCCGACGAGAAUCUUGGUGUAAGUAAGAUCAAAUUAUUCUGAGAACGAAUAACGUCGAAAGAGCGCGGUUUCCUUGGCACUAUCGUUUAACCAAGGGUUAGUCGGCGCCUAAGUCACACCUUAGCUGGUUGUGGCGAAUGGAAAUCUGGUUAAUAUUCCAGAACUAAUUAAACUCGUUAUUACAUAAAUCGCUUUGGGAUAAGCAGAGGUCCGGAAGGACUAAUGCGCAAGAAGUCUGUGGAUCAUAAUGAUUAGAAGCAGAGAAUUGCGCGUGAAUCUGCUGACUCCGAGAGCCCUUGAAAACUUUAUGUCUAGAGUUUAGUUAGCCGUACCUAGAACCGACACUGGUGCUCUGGCUGAGAAGGCCAAGACGUGAAAGGACAACCUGGUUAAGGGAAUUCGGCAAACUGGCCCCGUAUCUUCGGUAGAAGGGGUGUCUAUGUUCGUACCAUUAGGUGCGUUUGUAGAUCGCAGUAACAAGGAUCGCCCGACUGUUUAUCAAAAACAUAGCCGAGUGCAAACCCGAAAGGACUAGUAUACUCGGUGAGACCUGUCCAGUGGUGGUGUUUCAAACUUCAGUUCAAUGGAGCUAAGACCCAUCAAACGGCGGGCCUAACUAUGAGGCUCUUAAGGUUAAGUGCGUAAUGCCUUGUCGUCUGAAUGGCGACGUGCAUGAAUGGUUUAAUGAGGUGGUCGCUGUCCCUAACCAGAACCUUCUGAACUCAUCUACUGGUGAACACGCCAGUAAUGCCUAUUGGGAAGCAGAGACCUUGUGAACCUUUACUGCAACUUGUUGUUGUAGCUUUAAGGGGAAUGCAUAGAGUAGGUAGGAGCGUCGAUGUUGCAUUUUAGGAUGCAACGGAGCAACCCUGUAACACUACCUAUUUCCCUUGAAGUUGCUCACUCGCUUUAGCGGGGACACCAGCAGGCGGGCAGUUUGGCUGGGGCGGCACCCUGCAGAAAAGAUAUCUGCAGGGCCCAAAGUUAAGCUCAUCCAGGUCGGAAAUCUGGAGUUGAGUGCAGAGGCAAAAGCUUAACUGACUGCGUUUCGCACAGCAAAGAACGCAGAGAUGAAAGUCUGGCUCAGCGACCCCACGUGAUCUUUUAAUAGGAUCCGUGUGUGACAGAAAAGGUACUCCAAGGAUAAUUGGCUUGUCGCGCCCGAUAGUCCAUAUUGACGGCGCGGUUUGGUGCGUCGCUGUCGGCUCUUCCUAUCCUGGUACUGCACAAGGUACCAAGGGUGUCGGAGUUCA
rnacentral:rRNA from 1 species